ensembl:lncRNA
ACGCCUUCCAGGCUCCCAAAGCGCCUCUGGGCGGCGCAGGCCGCGCCCGCCCGUCCCCAUGGCAACGCGGGGCGGCACUUCCGGGGUCCCGCGCGGGGCACGCCGGGAACCGCACGUGGGCAGCGCCGGAAAGCGCGCGGGGCACCGGCACCGGGAAAGGGAACGGGAAUGGGAACGGCACCGGGAACGGCACCGGGAACGGCACUGGGCGCGGCAGUGGAGCCAAGAAGAAGGCAGAGGAUGGAAUGCACAAUGGCUGACCCACACCUGAAUGGUACGGAAGGGAAAUCCGAAGGCUGUUAUCCCUCCGAGAGGGCAGCUCGUCAGCAGGAGGUGAUGAGGAGGAAGGGGCCAGCGAGCAGGUGCUGCAGGCUGGAGGACAGGCAGGAACUGGCACCAGUACAGCCGUGCCAGGAGAACUGGGCCAUGCAGCAGCAGAACUGGGCCGUCCAGCAGCAGAACUGGGCCGUCCAGCAGCAGAACUGGGCCAUGCAGCAGCAGAACUGGGCUGUCCAGGAACAGCUGCCUCAGCCACAGGAGGUUUGGGCUCGCAGCAGGAGCCCCUUCUGCGCUCCCCGUCCCCAGAGUUGCUCAGUCCCGACACCGGGAGCACUGCUGGAGAGAGUGAGGAGGAGCAUGGGGACCUGGCCACCAGUGAGGAAGGCUCUGAGCAGCUCACCUCAGCUUCCUCAGGUGCCAAAGCAGCCCCCCUGAGGCCGGGCCAGCGGCAGGGAAGCGUUCCAGGGGUAGAGCCCAGCCUGAGCAGCUGGUGGGCUCACAGGGAGGGGAGCAGAGCCGAGCUCCCACUCCCAGCCGCUGCUGAGCAGGAGACCAGGCCGAGCAUCCCCGGCACACGGCAGGAGCAGGGCAGGGAUGCCCGGGCUCCAGAGGGCUCCCUGCUGCCCCCAGCCAGCCCUCCCACGGCCCAGGAGGAGCCCUUGGACAGCUCAGCACCACACAGUCUCUCUGCGUGGUCAAACUUCCAGGGGUUGUUGAACUGUCUGAGGAUUUUGUUCGGAAACAGAGUAAGAGAGGACGAGGAGAGUGCGCUGCAGACACGGGGGCUGUCCUCUGCUGCCGUGUGUCAGCAGCAGGAUUCUGUGGCCAGCAGGGUAGAGCAGGCUGUAAAUCCAUCCCGGCAGGAUUUUCAGCCCCGCAACGCCCUCAUGAGACGGGGAAGUGCAUCCGUGUGCCGGCAGGGAGAUGGUCCCCGGAGGUCUCCGGGAGGGCUGCAGGGGGACAUGGCGCGAAGGGAACAGCGCUCCUGCCCCUGGAGAAGAAGCGCUCCUGCAGGAGCAGCCUCUGCUGCCACAGGAGUUCUCUCCUGCCAGGGGCUGGGCUGUGUGCAGUGUUCCAGCCUGCUGCUGCUGUCCAUUCCCGGCCUGGAGCGCGGCUUUGGCUGCUGACACCUGCCCAGAAACGGGGGGCCACCGCAGGCACCCCUCUAACUUUAUCCUCUGCCAUUUGCAUGGGGCUGUCGCUCGCUAUGGAAACAUCAUCUGAUUUACAUGUAAAUAGCUUUCCCCGCCGUGCUCCCUUUGUAUCCCACCUGUUAAUCACAGCAGAGCAGGGGAGAGCCCUCUCUGCAGUUUAACCUUGUGUUCCCUCCCGGCGAGGCCUCGCUGUGCAGCGCCUGACGAGCGGCUCUCGAGGCCCCUGGAAAUCACACACGAGGUUUGAGCGCCUGCAUUGUCCCCGGGGCACGGCCGGGCCCGGCACACGGCUCUCCUCCCGCUGUGCCAGGCUCAGUGCCUCCGCUUCUCAAGGCCACGCUGCGCAAAACGUGCAGCUUUUAAUUUAAUCGGCUGGACCUGAAAAGCAAAGGGCAGGAACGCAGGAGCGGCCCUUCCCUUGCCGUGCUCACAGCCAGCUGGGCUUCCCAAGGCACCUGGAAUGCAGCGUGCACACUCCAGCCUUGCAAAAUUAAAAUCUCCUGGAGAGGCUUGUGAGUGAUUGGUAGGUGAAUUUCGAUUGUAUACACAGAGUACGGGAAUGCAGCUUCCUCUGCUCUGUCACCACACAGAGUCACAACAUCUGAUGGAUGUCCUUCCAGCCCCCGGGGUCUUCUCUUGCCAAAUCCCUGUGUGCUGAAAUUCACCACGGUCUGGGUGUUUGUUGCCUUAGCUGAAAUGCCUGUAGCUCGGACUGUGGCACUGCAGCAGUGUCCCUGCGGCGUCAGGAGGAAGCAGCGAUCACACACUUGUGGUGAAUUAUCUGAAAUGAGUGCAGGGGAUGGUGUCGGAAGGAGCAGACACCACGGCUGACUCCAGAGCCAGAACCAGUCCUUGCUGUGUGCCAGCAAGCCACAGGUUUUCAUCUGGGGAGCAAAUGCCUCUCCUGUCCCACUGCAGAGAUGCCAGCCUCUGGUUUUUAAGGAGUUUUGGGUUAUUUCCCCGCAGUGGAGUG